rnacentral:rRNA from 1 species
CCCACCCGUUCCCAUGCCGAACACGGAAGUUAAGCUCUCCAGCGCCGAUGAUAAUGAAGGGGCAACCCUUUGUGAAAGUAGGACGCCGCCAGGC